rnacentral:rRNA from 1 species
GACGAACGCUGGCGGCGUGCUUAACACAUGCAAGUCGAACGGAAAGGCCCUGCUUUUGGGGGGUGCUCGAGUGGAGAACGGGUGAGUAACACGUGAGUAAGCUGCCAUUGACUUUGGGAUAACUUCAGGAAACUGGGGCUAAUACCGGAUCGGAGCUCCUGCUGAAUGGUGGGGGUUGGAAAGUUUCGGCGGUUGGGGGGUGACUCGCGGCUUAUCAGCGUGGUGGUGGGGUAGUGGCUUACCAAGGCUUUGACGGGUAGCCGGCCUGAGAGGGUGACCGGCCACAUUGGGACUGAGAUACGGCCCAGACUCCUCCGGGAGGCAGCAGUGGGGAAUAUUGCACAAUGGGCUGAAGCCUGAUGCAGCAACGCCGCGUGCGGGAUGACGGCCUUCGGGUUGUAAACCUCUUCCGCCUGUGACGAAGCGUGAGUGACGGUAAUGGGUAAAGAAGCACCGGCUAACUCCGUG